rnacentral:rRNA from 1 species
AACGAACGCUGGCGGCAUGCCUAACACAUGCAAGUCGAACGAGACCUUCGGGUCUAGUGGCGCACGGGUGCGUAACGCGUGGGAACCUGCCCUUAGGUUCGGAAUAACUCCCCGAAAGGGGUGCUAAUACCGGAUAAUGUCUUCCGACCAAAGAUUUAUCGCCUUUGGAUGGACCCGCGUUGGAUUAGCUAGUUGGUAGGGUAAAAGCCUACCAAGGCGACGAUCCAUAGCUGGUCUGAGAGGAUGAUCAGCCACACUGGGACUGAGACACGGCCCAGACUCCUACGGGAGGCAGCAGUGGGGAAUAUUGGACAAUGGGCGAAAGCCUGAUCCAGCAAUGCCGCGUGAGUGAUGAAGGCCUUAGGGUUGUAAAGCUCUUUUACCCGGGAUGAUAAUGACAGUACCGUGAGAAUAAGCUCCGGCUAACUCCGUG